rnacentral:rRNA from 1 species
AGAGUUUGAUCCUGGCUCAGAACGAACGCUGGCGGCAUGCCUAACACAUGCAAGUCGAACGAUGGCUUCGGCCAUAGUGGCGCACGGGUGAGUAACACGUGGGAACCUGCCUUUCGGUUGCGGAAUAACGUUUGGAAACGAACGCUAACACCGGAUACGCCCUUCGGGGGAAAGUUUACGCCGAGAGAGGGGCCCGCGUCCGAUUAGGUAGUUGGUGGGGUAACGGCCUACCAAGCCGACGAUCGGUAGCUGGUCUGAGAGGAUGAUCAGCCACACUGGGACUGAGACACGGCCCAGACUCCUACGGGAGGCAGCAGUGGGGAAUAUUGGACAAUGGGCGCAAGCCUGAUCCAGCAAUGCCGCGUGAGUGAUGAAGGCCUUAUGGUUGUAUAGCUCUUUCGCACGCGACGAUGAUGACGGUAGCGUGAGAAGAAGCCCCGGCUAACUUCGUGCCAGCAGCCGCGGUAAUACGAAGGGGGCUAGCGUUGUUCGGAAUUACUGGGCGUAAAGGGCGCGUAGGCGGACUUGUCAGUCAAAAGUGAAAGCCCCGGA